rnacentral:lncRNA from 12 species
UCCCACUCCUCCUCCCCACCAGUCCCAAAUUCCUACAAAAAUUGGUUUUUAAGAGAGCAGAUUUGGGGUGACCAGGGGGGAGCACUUGGCCGUUAUUAAUGAGGCAGUUCUUGCUGAUGAUGCUCGUUAAUCUCCCACCUUAACGAGCUUCAUUCCAGCGAGUGCUCACUGGAAUUCUGCUGGGCAGAGGAGCAGCAAAGUCACUCACCAGCCACUGGGGCAGCUGCAAGGCACCAGGGUCCCACAUCUCCCACGGAGAAUCCUUGCAGGCUCCCAGCUGGGAAUGCACUGGGGUGUACUGGGAUGUACUGGGAGUGCACUGGGAUGCACCAGCCCAGCCCCACAGCUCAGGCACUCAGGCACAGAUGUCCCAGCAGAGAGGGUCCUCAGGAUCCAGCCCUGGGCUCAGGGCAGUGAUGGGCUCCUCAAAUCUGGGAAGGGCUCAGAUCCAACCCUGUGUCACUCACCAGCCACUGGGGCAGCUGCAAGGCACCAGGGUCCCACAUCUCCCACGGAGAAUCCUUGCAGGCUCCCAGCUGGGAAUGCACUGGGGUGUACUGGGAUGUACUGGGAGUGCACUGGGAUGCACCAGCCCAGCCCCACAGCUCAGGCACUCAGGCACAGAUGUCCCAGCAGAGAGGGUCCUCAGGAUCCAGCCCUGGGCUCGUUCUCAGGGUGCUCCAAAUCCCAGAUCUGGGAAGGGUUCGGAUCCAACCUCACACUCAGGGCAGUGAUGGGUUUCUCAUUCCUGCUCCAAAUCCCAAAUACAAGAAAGGCUCAGAUCCAGUCCCACAUUCAGGGCUCCUCAUUCCUGCUCCAAAUCCCAAAUCCAGGAAGGGCUCAGAUCCAGCCCCACAUUCAGGAUUCCUCAUUUCUGCCCCAAAUUCCAAAUCCAGGACGGGCUUCGAUCUAGUCUCGUGCUCAGGGCAGUGAUGAGUUCCCCAUUUCUGCUCCAAAUCCUAAAUCCAGGAAGGGCUCAGAUCCAGCCUUGUAUUCAGGUUGCUCCAAAUCCUAAAUCCAGGAAGGUCUCAGAUCCAGCCCUGUGUUCAGGUUGCUCCAAAUCCCAAAUCUGGGAAGGGCUCAGAUCCAGCCCCUCACUCAGUAUUCCUCAUUCCUCAUUCCUGCCCCAAUCUGCUCCAAAUUGGGACCUGGAGACUUCCAGCACCGAGGAUUUCACUUGGCUCCAUCAAAAUUCCCAAAGAGCACAGGGAUGCCUCAAAUCCUGACCAUGAUCCAG